AAGAAGAAGAAGAGAAGGAGAGGAAGAAGGAAAGAAAGAAAAGAAAAAAAAAGGGAGAGAAAGAUGAAACCAAGAAUAGAGGGAGAGAGGAGAUAGGAGACCGACGGAGGUGGCUGCAAAAGGGGCCACCGGCGAGUAAAACUCCGGUGAUCGGAGAGUGGAGGAAGAUCAAGCAAAUGGGAGGGAGGCAAGCGGGGGCAUUAUUAGAAGAUUUCAAUCAUUUUUCGGCUUAAGGGUCGAGCUUCAAACGGUCUAGAAGUUGAUCGUGCAGAGGAGUGAAUUUCACUCAAGGUUGGGCCACACGACUUCAUUUCACCAUAGAUUUUAUAGUUGUAUUUUGUUUUCCGCUGCAAAGUUUAUGUUUCCUUCAUCAUGUAUUUAUUUCUUAUUUGUAUUAUUAAAGAUAUGGAAAAUCUGGUACCAUAAAUUUCAUUUUGUGAAAAUUU